UUCACCAUGAUCUCGAUCUCCUGACCUUGUGAUCCGCCCGCCUCGGCCUCCCAAAGUGCUGGGAUUACAGGCGUGAGCCACCGCGCCCGGCCUGUAUGUUUAUUUUUAAUCUGCACCUCUGAAUUGGUCUUUUGAUUGCAAAGAGAUUGCUUACUGGAUUUGUUUCUGAAUAUUUCGUGGAUAACAGGAGAACCUUGGUUAUCUGUGUGUUCAUUUAAUGUGUUUUUGCCUGGCAUUUAUUUGGGUGUGUUAGCCCUUAGCCCACUUUCUGUGUGUGGUGGAGUCAUUGAAAUCAUUUAUGUGAAGUGUCUCUUCUAUUAAGGCCAGAGGACGUGGGGUGGUGUCUCCCUAAACUAGGGGGAAAUGGCAUUGUUCUGCCCUCCUCCCUGGGAAAGCUGGUGUUUCCAGGUCUCUGAACUUGGCUCCCACACUGGGAGAGUGGCUGUGGCUUCUGGAGCCCGUUUUGUGCGGGACUGACUCCUUCACUUGCUUUAUUCCUCACUGUCUUUGCUGCUUUAUGACGCAGGGAUGAGGAAGUUGGGCCCAGGGGCCUUGACUAUGCCUGAAGGACCCGAUGCAGAAAACUCCUGGUGGGAAGGAUGUUCCUUGAGGGCAGCUUUUGGAGUCUUUUCCUACUUUUAACUGAGAAGCAGCUAUUCACAUGGUUCUAUUCUGCUGGUAUGUUUCAAAAUAAUUGGCGUAGAGUUGCGAAGAUGUCCGAGACACCCAUGAUCCACUCCGGGCCAGUGCCGGGCAUUGUGCUCAGAUGCCUUCAGACCGCAUUCACAUGCCAAAGAUUCUUGCUUGGUUAUUCUCAAACUUAUGAGAAUCUAAAACGCGAGGCACGGUAUGGAUUUUCUUUUUAGCCCCCAUGACUUUGCCUUGUAUUUUGGGCAUGAAUGACUUCAUCAAGGGGAAAGAAUUUGAGGAAGGAGCCUCUGAGGCUAGGAGGGGGUGGGAAGGGGCGGGGGGAAGAGGAGGGAAAAGGAGCUGUAGAGAGAAGAGCCAGGCUGGGGCUGGGGCAUCUCCCCAUGAUGCUCCCCCACCCCUGGCGCGAGGCCCCAGGGACUGACUGAUUUUCCCACAGGAAAUGUGCAUGAUUGCGUGUCUGUUUUGUGGGCUGGCCAUUUGGAUUGAGGGAAUGUCUGUGUUGUGAUUCCUUAUUGAUUCAAAGGUUGGAAAGGUUUGUGCUCAAUACAGGGGUCUCUUGGUGCGAUGGGAAAUGUGAUCGCAGCCGCCUUCAGGGUGGGGAGAGCCCUUGAGGCCCUCAGUGGUGGCCGGUGUCGGCCUUCGCUUUCCUGGGUGAGCUGCCCUCAAGGUGGGAAGGGAGGCCCUCGGUGGUGGCCUCUGUUGGCCUUCGCCUCCCUGGGUGAGUGCUGUUCCAUCCCCGGCUCUCCGACUCCUUGCCUGGCACCUUCCUCGUUGGAGACCGUGAUCCAUGAACUUUUUCCACGCGUGUCCUGCAGACUAGUGCUGACUGCAGGUUCAGGAGUGGUCAGAGGAGGCCAGAGGAGGCCCUCGUGAUGCGAAGCUAAGCGUUUAAUGAUGGCGCUGUUGAGUGCAUGAGCCGCGUCAGCCCAAGAGUCUGGUGCCCAAGAGGCUGAUGCCACAUAGAAGACCUGCAGGUCGGUGGAUGUGAAACAGGCAUCGGACACGCUGUGCACCUUGGGACGCAUCUGAGAAGUGCGUGCUUGCGGCAGGUCUGAGGUGAGGGCGUGUUCCAUCUCCUCUCCCUUCUCUGGCUUUGCAGGCCUUUGAAGUUGGUCCUGGAAAGUGAAAUUAGUUAAUGCUGAUUUAAGCUCCAGGUCAAAGUCGGGGGGCCGAAGAGACCCGCCCUUCACUAGGGGUGUGAAGCAUUGGACCCUCCCAUCAGGAGGCAGCAGGUACUCGAGAAAGCCCCACAUGCCCUCCAGUUCCCUUAUGUUGAAAUUUUUUGUACUCGGCCAUGCCGGGUCAUUUUGGGAGGUAAAUGGGGCGUUCACAUGGGGGUGUGCAGUAUUGUUAGGUGUCAGGUGUGAGAGUUGAAUUUGUAGAAGCUGUGCGGAUAGGAAAGGGCGUGGCAGGGAGUGCUGUUUACAGGGAGCAGAUUUAACGUGAGGUCUGUGCUCUGCCUGGGUCCAUGUCUGACCGGUGUCUCCCAGUCUGCAACAGGACGUUCACGUGACUCGGCGCCAUCGUCCCACUCUGUGUAGACGUCUGAGGAUCUGUCCGCAGCUGCUCUGUGAGAAUGAGUUGUGAUAAUUAACUGAGAAACAGUGAACAAAUCCUGAAUUUGUUAGCACUGGUUCCACGGCCACUUCUGCCGUGGUUGGAGUCAUUCAUAAUAAAGUCUGCUGGACUCCUAUGCAGAGCUCUGAAUUUCAGAGGCCCUUUAACUUGGCAGCUAACCAGCCGCUUCCUUCAGAAGACAUUUGAGUCUCCUUUACCUACCAGGGUGACUCUGGGAGUUUGAAGAUGAGUGAGACAAGCCCUCCGUGUCUUGUGGAUUUUGCUGUCCAGAGGGGAGACAGAUGUGGAUGGUGAAGGGGGCCCUAUCAGAGGUCAGCGCAUGUCAGUUUUGUUUCUUCAGCACUUGCUAUGUUCAGGCGGUGCCCCGGGCCAUGUGUAGAGCAUCUGGGGACCCUGCCCAUGGCAUCCCAGGCACAGCUAACAUCUGCGCCAUCUUCGUACUUGGCCUGAGUUUUGGGGAAGUACCGAGGAUGGCUUCUGCCUUUGCUGGAGAGAGUUGGAAGUCAGGGCAGCCCUCCACAAGGAGAUGAUCGCCAGCUGAUUCCUCAAGAAAGAGAGGUGGUCCCCACAUGGGCAAAGCAGGGCAGCAUGCACAGACCUGGGUGUAGGGUCUGGGGCAAGUGCAUCUGAGUGGGGUCUGCUGGGAGACAGCAGGGGUGAGGUGUGAAGGCAGUUGGAAUUGACAGGAUAAAUUAUCACUAAGGCGAUGCUGGGAAAACAUAAAAUUGGGA